UGACAAAUGUGCAGCUUUGUCUGCAGUCGGG
rnacentral:piRNA from 1 species